rnacentral:rRNA from 1 species
UACGAAGGGGGCUAGCGUUGCUCGGAAUCACUGGGCGUAAAGGGUGCGUAGGCGGGUCUUUAAGUCAGGGGUGAAAUCCUGGAUCUCAACUCCAGAACUGCCUUUGAUACUGAGGAUCUUGAGUUCGGGAGAGGUGAGUGGAACUGCGAGUGUAGAGGUGAAAUUCGUAGAUAUUCGCAAGAACACCAGUGGCGAAGGCGGCUCACUGGCCCGAUACUGACGCUGAGGCACGAAAGCGUGGGGAGCAAACAGG